AUGUCGAAACUGCCGAAAUCAAACCCAGACCCUCGGCAGAGGAGGCGCAGGGACCUCCUGGGGGGGCUCCGGGCGGCCGUGACCCUGCUGGAGUCCGGGGGGGACCUCCAGCCCCCCGCGGAGUCCCUGCGCCUCCUCUGCCGAGGGUCUGGGUUCGAUUUUGGGGGUUUUGACAUGGAAUGGGUGCGCCAGAGACCCGGGCAGGGGCUGGAGUGGAUCGCGUACAUCAGUAACAAUGGUGGCACCACCAGAUACGCGCCGUCGGUGCAGGGCCGCUUCACGAUCUCCAGGGACAACGGGCAGAGCUCGGUGACGCUGACCAUGAACAACCUCAAGGACGAGGAUUCCGGAUCCUAUUUCUGUGCCAAGGGUGCUUAUGCUGGUACUUGGGGUGCUGCUGCUUAUGUUGAAGGUGCCAGUGGUGCAUUCCUGGCCCCAUCUCACUGUCCCCACCUGUCCCCAUAG